rnacentral:rRNA from 1 species
AUUAGACGAAUCAUCUGGAAAGAUGAAUCAAAGAAGGUAAUAAUCCUGUAGUCGAAAAUGUUGUCUCUCUUGAGUGGAUCCUGAGUACGACGGAGCACGUGAAAUUCCGUCGGAAUCUGGGAGGACCAUCUCCUAAGGCUAAAUACUCUCUAGUGACCGAUAGUGAACCAGUACCGUGAGGGAAAGGUGAAAAGCACCCCGGAAGGGGAGUGAAAUAGAACCUGAAACCGUGUGCUUACAAGUAGUCAGAGCCCGUUAAUGGGUGAUGGCGUGCCUUUUGUAGAAUGAACCGGCGAGUUACGAUUUGAUGCAAGGUUAAGCAGUAAAUGUGGAGCCGUAGCGAAAGCGAGUCUGAAUAGGGCGUUUAGUAUUUGGUCGUAGACCCGAAACCAGGUGAUCUACCCUUGGUCAGGUUGAAGUUCAGGUAACACUGAAUGGAGGACCGAACCGACUUACGUUGAAAAGUGAGCGGAUGAACUGAGGGUAGCGGAGAAAUUCCAAUCGAACCUGGAGAUAGCUGGUUCUCUCCGAAAUAGCUUUAGGGCUAGCCUCAAGUGAUGAUUAUUGGAGGUAGAGCACUGUUUGGACGAGGGGCCCCUCUCGGGUUACCGAAUUCAGACAAACUCCGAAUGCCAAUUAAUUUAACUUGGGAGUCAGAACAUGGGUGAUAAGGUCCGUGUUCGAAAGGGAAACAGCCCAGACCACCAGCUAAGGUCCCAAAAUAUAUGUUAAGUGGAAAAGGAUGUGGCGUUGCCCAGACAACUAGGAUGUUGGCUUAGAAGCAGCCAUCAUUUAAAGAGUGCGUAAUAGCUCACUAGUCGAGUGACACUGCGCCGAAAAUGUACCGGGGCUAAACAUAUUACCGAAGCUGUGGAUUGUCCUUUGGACAAU